UGAUGAAUAUGUGAAGAUUAUUGAAGGGGAUAAUUUAAGCUUGUUUGAGUCCUUUGGAGGGUAUCUUAUAGUUGGAUUGCAAGGUUGGUCAUUUGUCGUUCGGUUUGACCGUAUUUGACAUUCGGUCGUGAGGAAAGAAAGAAGAUAAAGGCAAGAACCCGGUGUAGUUAGUUCGUGAUUAGUUUGGGGAUCGUUGCCAAACCUUG